CCUACAUGAAGCUGGAGUUACUAGUAAUCGCAGAUCAGAAUGCUGCGGUGAAUGCGUUCCCGGGUCUUGUACACACCGCCCGUCACACCACGGGAGUUGGAGACGCCCGAAGCCGAUUAUCUAACCUUUUGGAAGAAGUCGUCGAAGGUGGAAUCAAUAACUGGGGUGAAGUCGUAACAAGGUAGCCGUAUCGGAAGGUGCG
rnacentral:rRNA from 1 species